UUUUUAUUUAUGUAUCCAGGUAUAAAUCGUUAUUCGACUAUUAUGUAUUCAGGCGAAAGAACUAUUGUCGCAUUGUAAUUUAUUUUGACAGUCUUAAUUGAAUUUGCGCUGUUUUGUUUUACUGGUGUCUGGCGUAUGUUAAACUACAUAUCAUCACAUGUAACAAUAUAACUUUCAUGAUUGACAUAACUCCAUUCGUUUAUUUUAACGCAUAAAAGAAAAGUCAUGAAAACUUUAUUAUUCCUUUGUCUUCUCUUUGAAAGUGUUGCAGCGCCAUACAAGUGCGGUCUUUUGGUCGCUAGUCUUUGCAUGACUAAAGAGAGGUCUACCGUUACAUCGUUAUACAGUGCACAAUGCACAAAUUGGAUUUAUAAUUCUUUUUGUCUAACCGACUUGAAUACAGAAUGUGCUCAGAAUUUCCUCAAAAAGUUUACUUCAAACUGCCAACCUAAUCGCCUCCGUUGAAAAAUUAAGCUGAUGGAAGCAGUUUAACAAUUAGGACUGUGGUCAUGUUGGGGGUAUGCAUUUAAGGGUUCUGCAGAAGAAAACGACCCCAGUAUUUAUUCUAUCGGUGCAAUUUGUCAAAUUGCGAAUGACACGUGGAUGUAAACAAAUAAACACCGGUUUGCAAGAGGUGAGAUUUCAAACACAAGAACUCCCAAAGAAAUCAGUCUGGUGAAAUCUGACGAAUAUUCUGAACUUGAGCAGUGAAGUUCCUCAUUAUUAAAUAAUAUUAAAGAUAUAUAAACUGUUUUCUUCUUGUUUUAUCUCAAAUUCAGCUGUAAAAGAAAACAUGUAUCACGAAAUGAUUAACUAUCGUAAGUUAAUUUUUUAAAUGUUAAACAAUAAAUUUGUAGCAAGAACAA